rnacentral:tRNA from 1 species
CGAAGUGGUGGAAUGGCAGACGCGUCGGACUCAAAAUCCGAUGAUGGCGACAUCGUGUGGGUUCGAGUCCCACCUUCGGC